rnacentral:rRNA from 1 species
UACGUAGGAUGCAAGCGUUAUCCGGAAUGAUUGGGCGUAAAGCGUCCGCAGGUGGCAGUUCAAGUCUGCUGUCAAAGACCGGGGCUUAACUUCGGAAAGGCAGUGGAAACUGAACAGCUAGAGUAUGGUAGGGGCAGAGGGAAUUCCUGGUGUAGCGGUGAAAUGCGUAGAGAUCAGGAAGAACAUCGGUGGCGAAGGCGCUCUGCUGGACCAUAACUGACACUCAGGGACGAAAGCUAGGGGAGCGAAUGGG